UACGAAGGGGGCUAGCGUUGCUCGGAAUCACUGGGUGUAAAGGGUGCGUAGGCGGGUUUUUAAGUCAGGGGUGAAAUCCUGGAGCUCAACUCCAGAACUGCCUUUGAUACUGAAGAUCUUGAGUCCGGGAGAGGUGAGUGGAACUGCGAGUGUAGAGGUGAAAUUCGUAGAUAUUCGCAAGAACACCAGUGGCAAAGGCGGCUCACUGGCCCGGUACUGACGCUGAGGCACGAAAGCGUGGGGAUCAAACAGG
rnacentral:rRNA from 1 species